AUGGAAGUGAUGAUCGUUUCUCCAGAUGAUCGAAGCUGAAAAUAUUGUGCGAUUUUGUCUCUUUCGAGAAACCAAGCCAAUUAGUUCUGAUCUAU